rnacentral:rRNA from 1 species
GCGAACGCUGGCGGCAGGCCUAACACAUGCAAGUCGAACGAACUCUUCGGAGUUAGUGGCGGCCGGGUGAGUAACACGUGGGAACGUGCCUUUUGGUUCGGAAUAACUCAGGGAAACUUGUGCUAAUACCGAAUGUGCCCUUCGGGGAAAAGAUUUAUCGCCAUUAGAGCGGCCCGCGUCUGAUUAGCUAGUUGGUGAGGUAACGGCUCACCAAGGCGACGAUCAGUAGCUGGUCUGAGAGGAUGACCAGCCACACUGGGACUGAGACACGGCCCAGACUCCUACGGGAGGCAGCAGUGGGGAAUCUUGCGCAAUGGGCGAAAGCCUGACGCAGCCAUGCCGCGUGAAUGAUGAAGGUCUUAGGAUUGUAAAAUUCUUUCACCGGGGACGAUAAUGACGGUACCCGGAGAAGAAGCCCCGGCUAACUUCGUG